UGGAGUUUGAAUGAGGGAGAAGACCUAGAUUUAUUCAGGAAGAAGGUCUUCAGAACUAUCAUCAUCAGCAAAAUGAUGAUGGAGGGACAAAGUUCCAACGGUUCUCCCAACAGACACACCCCUGUUCUUGGAGUAGUAGCUGAAAAAGUAAUCAGCAUACAGAUAGCAACAUAAUCAAAAUCUCCAGAUGACCUCCCCUGAAGGUUUUUCAUAGAAACAGCUUUACAUGAAGAGCAUUGGGAAGACUGACAACCUCUGGAACUCCUCACAAUUGAGUGUCUAAGGGGCCAACAGUUCCUUCCGAAGUUGCACUCUUUGGACACAACCAGU